CCUUGAGACAAUUCUUCCAUCUCUUGUUUUAAUACCUGUAUAGAGUUUUACUCUGAGAAAUUGGAUAGAGAUUUUUCAGAAAGACUGGGCAUAUCACUUUGCAAAAGAAAAAAAAAAAAGGCAGUAGCAGUUGAACGCUGGGUAAUCCUGCUUUUCUGCAUCCCUCAGAAUGAGGCAUCAUGAUCCUGUGGUGCUUAGAGUACGUUGGCUUGAAGCGUGAGACCUGUAGUAUUUAUCUAUACAACACGGUGACCAGUAAGGAGAGUGCAAUCUUAAUUGGUUUUCAUCAUCUCAGGUUUCUGUUUGAGAAUUACCAAGUACAAAAGUAAGCAGAAUGAGGCAUAAUGGUACUGGUGUAAGGAUUGGUUGUAACUGGACCUAACUCAGUCAUAAACUUUGUGGGAUCCAGAAUCACACAGCUCAGUUUUCAGGAAGUCAGUGGUUACGUUACUGAUUAAGUAGCCUCUUCUUUACUUAAAGCAUCUGCAAUGCAACUUUAAAGUCAGCACAGAAACUUUUUUUUUCCAAGACAUUUUUGUGAUCCAGACUAGUGUGUGUAUU